UGUUUGAUGUUACGGCAGUUUCAUAGAUUAAUCCAUGAGUACAUGAAGUUUAGUAACUGUUGUAUUAGCUAACUAAAUUGUAAAAAAUUAUAAUAAUAAUAACACCACAGUAGCCGACGCUUUAUAAAUUGAAGUAGCCUGCGCACUGCUUACUCAAACUUGAAACACAUGAACAUUUGAGAGAACCUUGGCGCGCGAUUUGAUGACGUUGUCAACAAUAACACCGCAUCACCGGUCACUGCUUGAAUGGAUACGAUUUUGUAAAAGUGAUGUAACAGUCCCGUUUGUGCCAAUCGAGUUGCAUCAGAUCUCGUAUCAUGAAAAAACUUGCAUUGGGAACUAAAAUAUGUUCCCCAUCACGGAACCCCCUUCCUGGUGGUCGGGAGGAAAACCUACGCCUGCCACCAGGGCGAGGAUAAACAUGCGAGUGAUAAGAAGAGGGAAGCAGAAAUGGUAAAUUGGCUAAUGUUUAUAAAGAUGCACAAUAAAGGUGAUUAUGAUUGACUGAUAUUGGGAGGAGGCGAUGUCGGUUAGGAAGGUAGAGUUUGAGAAGGGUAUGUGUUAGAAAGGGAAAACAGAAGAUAACCACAAGAUGCAGGACUCCUUGUUCCCCCAAUAUCUAAGAAAACAGAUUGAUACAGCGCUCCUCUUUUAUGUUGAGAGAAUCAUACUUAGUUUCAGUCUUGUAAGUUAAAGUAAGUAACUUGUAGCUAAGCCUUGGUCAAAUAAUCCUUGUCUGAGCAUGAAUGACCCAUAUGGGCAGAAGCCUAUUUCCUGUUUCUGUCUUGUAAGGCAGCUUGAGGUACAAGUAGCCUAUACCCCCUGGACAAGACGCUAGUUCCCUAAUUCAUUAAUGCUGAGAACCAAACAGAGAGGCAUCAGGUCCGAAGGUACUGGACUGAUGAACCAUCCUUGCUGUCUCUACUUGAUUGACUCUCAACUGGGAUUCCAUACCACUGACUCUAUUACAUGCGCUGAGUCCCUGGCUUUUUGUACUCAGUUUUUUAUUUGCCAUGGGGCCAUGGUCAGCUUGUCUCAUCUGGUGUACUGUACUGUCUUUAUCUGUGGUACCUAAGCAUGCUCCCACUAACCCCCUUCUUUUGUCCUUUUCUACAUCUAAUAACUCCCGGAAGUGUCUGGACUGUGCCUACCUGGACUGUGGCUGAGGACCCUGGGCAUGCCUACCCAUAGCCCCUCCCCACACUCCCUAGCAUGUUUGUACCUAAGCUAAAUACUGAGUAUUCCAUCUCACCCUCUUCUGUCCUCUCCUCCCCUAAACCCAGUCCUGGGCACAAACUAUUUUAUAUUGAAUUUAUAUUGAGCAUGCUUUUUUGUCCAGGACUAGGUGUAAUCUGAGUCUGGGAAACCAGCCCAUACUCUAGACAAUGAGAUUAUUCCAGAAUACUAUCAAAAUAAAGAUUGUUUUCUAUGA